GAGGUAGACUACUGCAGGGACCUGAGCCACGUCGCCGCCUUGUUCCUCCUUUAUCUGCCUGAGGAGGACAUAUUCUGGGCACUGGCCCAGAUGCUGGCUGGUGAGAGGCACUCCCUGCAGGGAUUCCACAGCCCAAAUAGCGCAAGGGUCCAGGGCCUCCAAGACCACCAGGAGCAUGUGGCACCCAGGCCAUACCCCAAGACCAUGAGGCACGCAGACAAGGAAGGGCUAUGCAUUCAGGGUUCCUCAUUAGGUUGGUUGCUUUGGAGCUUGAUCAAUGGGAUCUCUCUCGGGCUCACCCUGAGCCUUUGGGACGUGUAUUUGCUAGAAGGGGAACAGGUGUUGACGCCAAUGGCACGCACUGCCUUUAAGGUUCAGAGGAAGCACCUCGUGAAGAUAUCCAGGUGUGGCCGUGGGCAUGUUUUCAGGACCAGUUUUCCCAUACCUGGGCCCUGGAUGAUGAUGCAGUUCUCAGACACCCUUGGGCCUCUAUGAGGAAACAAGGAAGCCUGGGGACCUGCCACCCCCAGCCAAACCUGAGCAAGGGUCCUUGGCACCCAGGCCUGGGCUGGCUUCACCUGGCAGGAAGACCCUCUGGCAGGGGGACAGGCAGGCCCCUCCUGGCCCAACAACUCGGUUCCAGUGGCCCAUUUGGCCAGCUUCCCCGCCAUGGGUGGCCCGUUUGGUCAGCUUCCCCUCCAUGGGUGCCUCCAGGCCAUUCUCUGGGGGCACCGGGGACUGAGGGUGUGCCCAGCCUGGCCCUGGCUCAGGGGGAACCUCAGGUUUCCUGGAGGUUCCUCCAGUGGAACUCCAUGCCACGGCUCCAUCCCUAUGAACCUGGAUGUGGGGGGCCCUCGUUGCCCCCCGUUAUGAUUUUGAACAGAGCUGCUGGAGACUUGCACCCAGUCCCUGGGAUGGACCAGCUGGCCACCUGCUGGCAGGCUGGUCACACUGCGGAGGGG
rnacentral:lncRNA from 1 species